ACGGUACAGUGAUAAAGCAGAGCUCUUCAAAGCACAGGUGGAGUGUGUCGUUGAAAUGAGGGAUAAAAGUCAGAACUCACAGCUGCGGCGGACGCUGUCAGACCGAUACCCAUCACUGCACUGGCUGGAGCGGUGAUCACACACACACACACACACACACACACUGACUCACGCAUUCACAGACACACACACACUGACUCACGCAUUCACAGACACACACACACUGACUCACGCAUUCACAGACACACACACACACACACACUCACUACAAAACAUGUAAAGUAUUUUUGUCGUGUUUUUUAGUAAAAUACCGAAAUAUCCUCAAAUCAAGAUACAUGUAGUUGAGAAACAAAAAAGACUGGAGAUACUAAGUCUUGUUUUCUGAAAAUGUAUCAAAAUGUAGUGAAAGCAAACAGACAUCUGCCAGUGGGGUCAGAACAAUACACUUGCUUUUCCUUUGAAUUGAGAGUAUUUUUCAUUCUCCAUUGGCAGAUAUGUUUUUGUUAAUUUAUAUAUAAACUAAUGUAUGUAUAAUAUAUUAAGUCGUUUUGCAUCUUGAUUUAAAAAUGUUUAGAUAUUUCUACUGGAAAACAAGACAAAAAAAUUGUUGUUUGAUUAAACACACAGAUAGAGCAUUUAGACGAAAAUACAACCUCAUAUAAUUACUCUUAGUGUCACUGAUAUCACGACACACAGAUUUCAUUAUUUCUAUUCAAACGAGUGUAAAGAUCGCCAAAGAUCUAAGACUGUAAUUCAAUUCAAAUGUUCUGAGUCACAGCAUUAAUUGCCCCAGUCAUUCCAGCAUGAAUUGAUUCAUUAUUAUUUGAUGAUCAAGAACGUCUGUCUUUACGGGAGGACAGUUGUGCUGUAUAUAACAGUAUUUAUUAAACUCACUGAAUGUGUGAUGUGGAAUCUAGCUGUAUUGAUGUCAGCUGUAUUUGGCUUAUGGAUAUAAAUGCUCAUCCUGUAUAUGAUCACACUCUGACUGCUGUAUUCUAUCGAGAUCAUAAGGUUAUGAGUGUAUGAAUCUGCACAUCAUUACAACCUAGAAUCCGAGAGAGAGAGAGAGAGAGAGAGAGAGAGAGAGAAAAAGAGAGAG